UCAAGAAACUUCCACAAUGGGCGAAAGCCUGAUGGAGCGACGUCGCGUGAUGGACGAAGUGCUUCGGCACGUAAACAUCUUUUUAUGUGGGAUGAAAUUAUUGACAGUACCACAUGAAUAAGGGGCUCCUAACUCUGUGCCAGCAGGAGCGGUAAUACAGAGGCCCCAAGCGUUAUCCGGAAUCACUGGGCGUAAAGGGUGUCGAGGCGGUUGUAUUAGUCGUUCGUAAAAUCUACGAGCUUAACUUGUAGGCGGCGAACGAAACGGUACGACUUGAGGUUUGGAGAGGUGCGUGGAACUCACGGUGUAGGGGUGAAAUCCGUUGAUAUCGUGGGGAACACCAAAGGCGAAGGCAGCGCACUGGCCAAAAUCUGACGCUCACACACGAAAGCUAGGGUAGCGAAGAGGAUUAGAUACCCCCGUAGUAC
rnacentral:rRNA from 1 species